ACAGCCCUAUGAAGGAAAUUCUUAGCAUCUCUACUUGUACCUUGGGACACUGAGGCUGUAGCAGUUACAUCCCAAGUUCAGAAGGGCUGCCAGUGUGGCAGCGGGAACCCUAGCAUUGCAGCCCUCAGUCGGAGGCAUAUCUGCACCACUCACUCCCUUCCUGGGUGCACGCAGGCACACCUCAACCUGAUGCUCACUGGCUGGUUGCACACCUGACUGCAGCAAGCUCUUCCCCAAACCAAGCAGGCCUGCUCCCCUGGUACAGGUGCUGGUCUGAGUAAUGGGCUGGGACGUGAGAUGCUUUUCUUAGUGUGAGCCACGCCUUCAAAAGCUCAAAAGAGCUCUGCAGAACAGAAGACUGUGCCCUUGGUUCCCCAACUCUAGAAUAUCUCAAGAACCUCCAUGGAGCGUGAUGGUCAAAACGGCCCAAACUGCCCAACUGAAACUUCCAAGUAGCAAGUGCCACCCUGUCACCAUUCUCGGCCAUCGCGAGACCACGUGGAGAGAUGAAGGCCAGAGCGGAUGCCAGGGAAGCCCAAUAGGCUUUCUCUUCCCGGGUCCUGUUACGUGGCAGAACCUAGACUUAGUGGGACCAGACCAAAAAACUAGAAAGUUCCACCUCUGUCACCUGGGCGGAAGCCCGCUGUGGCCCCAGCCUGUGGUUAGCCCCUGGAGUCGAUUUGCAAAUCUGUUCAACCCACCUCUGGGGAAAACUCCCAGCCUCACCCCAGGGGGCAAUGACUAAUUACAAAACACAUUUUCUCUCUUUUCUGCCAGGCUCGCUUCCCCGCCCACGAGGCUCCGCCUCUCCCAGCAGCCACCCGCAGCGCUCAGGAGCCUGCUAGACUGGUUGAAUGAACUCUUGGCCCAGCCUUCUUCCUCCUCCGCAGACUUCACUCCGGGGUUCUUUCCUCCCCAGCUCAGCCCUAUUUUCACUUUCUAGUCACUCUCGCUUCUCCGCCAACUCUCACCCUGGAGCUCGGAGCGCUGGCCCCUGCUGGAGGUGGGGCGACUGGCAAAGCCCUUCCUGGGCUGCACAUCAUGGCCAGGUCUAGGAUCGAUGAUAGACCACCGACGCUACCAAGCACUUUCUGCUCCAGGUUGCAGGUGCACCUGGACAGCAAGUUAGACUGGCUUCCUGCACACAGAGCUUCUAGAAGCUGGGACACAAAGGUCGCAGAACAAUUGAACAGUGACGUCAUCAGCGUUUUAAGGCCCAGUGCUAGAGAAGCACAUACCCAGGCUGCCCAGUGCCUGACCAUCCUGGCUAGCCUUGGGGAGACAGGUAGGGUUUUGGGAGGGAGGGAAGGUGGAGGAAGAGAAGGCAGGAGGAUGACUUCAAAAGGGAGAGCUUCCCAGGAAAAGCCUGUGAGUGGUCUCAUUUUGGUGAGGCUGGCAGGGCCCAAGCGGGGAGGGGUAGCAUAAGGAAUUCACAAAAGUAGAAGGAGCCGGAACCAAUAGGACCUGGGGCAUCCCGUUGUAGGCUAGGCUCAGUGCUGUUGAAAAGGGCAAGUUCAUGAAAUCAGAAAAAGUGGUGCUGGUCCUGGCCGAACAGUAGUCCGGUCACACAGUAUGAAGCACUUUGAAAAUCUCCAAGAUGGGCCAGGGAGAUAGCUCAGCGGACUAAGCACUUGCUUUGGCAAGAGCAGGGGCCAGGCCCUGCUGCCGGGGCGUGCUGAACCCGUGACCGCGUCCGAGCUAGUGGCAUAUGUCUGUAAUCCCAGUGCUGGGGAGGCUGAAAACAGGAUCACUAUGAGUCCA